CAGUCGCCGCGGUAACACAGAGGGUGCGAGCGUUAAUCGGAUUUACUGGGCGUAAAGCGUGCGUAGGCGGCUUUUUAAGUCGGAUGUGAAAUCCCUGAGCUUAACUUAGGAAUUGCAUUCGAUACUGGGAAGCUAGAGUAUGGGAGAGGAUGGUAGAAUUCCAGGUGUAGCGGUGAAAUGCGUAGAGAUCUGGAGGAAUACCGAUGGCGAAGGCAGCCAUCUGGCCUAAUACUGACGCUGAGGUACGAAAGCAUGGGGAGCAAACAGGAUUAGAUACCCCUGUAGUCCCUGUCUCUUAUAC
rnacentral:rRNA from 1 species